rnacentral:rRNA from 1 species
UACGAGGGGGGCGAGCGUUGUUCGGAAUUAUUGGGCGUAAAGGGCGCGUAGGCGGUUUGGUAAGUCUUGUGUGAAAUCUUCGGGCUCAACUCGAAGUCUGCACGAGAAACUGCCGGGCUUGAGUACGGGAGAGGCGAGUGGAAUUCCUGGUGUAGCGGUGAAAUGCGCAGAUAUCAGGAGGAACACCGAUUGCGAAGGCAGCUCGCUGGAACGUUACUGACGCUGAGACGCGAAAGCGUGGGGAGCAAACAGG